rnacentral:rRNA from 1 species
UACGUAGGGUGCAAGCGUUGUCCGGAAUUAUUGGGCGUAAAGAGCUCGUAGGCGGUUUGUCGCGUCUGCUGUGAAAACCUCAGGCUCAACCUGGGGCUUGCAGUGGGUACGGGCAGACUAGAGUGCGGUAGGGGUGACUGGAAUUCCUGGUGUAGCGGUGGAAUGCGCAGAUAUCAGGAGGAACACCGAUGGCGAAGGCAGGUCUCUGGGCCACUACUGACGCUGAGAAGCGAAAGCAUGGGGAGCGAACAGG